rnacentral:rRNA from 1 species
GAAGUCAAAGCUUUAUGUGCUGAGAGAUGGUCUCGCGUCUGAUUAGCUAGAUAGCGGGGUAACGGCCCACCAUGGCGACGAUCAGUAGCCGGUCUGAGAGGAUGAACGGCUACAUUGGGACUGAGAUACGGCCCAGACUCCUACGGGAGGCAGCAGUGGGGAAUAUUGGGCAAAGGGGGAAACCCUGACCCAGCAACGCCGCGUGAAGGAAGAAGGGCUUCGGGUUGUAAACUUCUUUUACCAGGGACGAAGAAC